rnacentral:rRNA from 1 species
CAGAGGUCUCAAGCGUUGUUCGGAUUCAUUGGGCGUAAAGGGUGCGUAGGUGGCGAUGUAAGUCUGGUGUGAAAUCUCGGGGCUCAACCCCGAAAUUGCAUUGGAUACUGCGUUGCUCGAGGAUUGUAGAGGAGAGUGGAAUUCACGGUGUAGCAGUGAAAUGCGUAGAUAUCGUGAGGAAGACCAGUUGCGAAGGCGACUCUCUGGGCAAUUCCUGACACUGAGGCACGAAGGCCAGGGGAGCAAACGGGAUUAGAUACCCCGGUAGUCCUGGCAGUAAACGGUGCACGUUUGGUGUGGGCGGGUUCAGACCCCGUCCGUGCCGGAGCUAACGCGUUAAACGUGCCGCCUGGGAAGUACGGUCGCAAGAUUA